rnacentral:rRNA from 1 species
AUUGAACGCUGGCGGCAGGCCUAACACGUGCAAGUCGAGCGGGGUUUUCGGACCUAGCGGCGGACGGGUGAGUAAUGCGUAGGAAGCUGCCCGAUAGAGGGGGAUACCAGUUGGAAACGACUGUUAAUACCGCAUAAUGUCUACGGACCAAAGUGUGGGACCUUCGGGCCACAUGCUAUCGGAUGCGCCUACGUGGGAUU